GGCCUACGGGAGGCAGCAGUGAGGAAUAUUGGUCAAUGGUCGGGAGACUGAACCAGCCAAGCCGCGUGAGGGAGGAAGGUACAGAGUAUCGUAAACCUCUUUUGUCAGGGAACAAAGACUGGGACGCGUCCCCGGAUGAGUGUACCUGAAGAAAAAGCAUCGGCUAACUCCGUGCCAGCAGCCGCGGUAAUACGGAGGAUGCGAGCGUUAUCCGGAUUUAUUGGGUUUAAAGGGUGCGUAGGCGGGACCUUAAGUCAGCGGUAAAAUUGCGGUGCUCAACGCCGUAGAGCCGUUGAAACUGGGGG
rnacentral:rRNA from 1 species